UACGGAGGGUGCGAGCGUUGUUCGGAAUCACUGGGCGUAAAGCGCGUGUAGGCGGCCCAUUAAGUCUGAUGUGAAAGCCCGGGGCUCACCCCCGGAAGUGCAUUGGAAACUGAUGGACUCGAGUCCCGGAGAGGAGAGUGGAAUUCUUGGUGUAGCGGUGAAAUGCGUAGAUAUCAAGAGGAACACCUGAGGUGAAGACGGGUUGCUGGGCUGACACUGACGCUGAGGCGCGAAAGCCAGGGGAGCAAACGGG
rnacentral:rRNA from 1 species